UGGGGAAUAUUGCACAAUGGGCGAAAGCCUGAUGCAGCGACGCCGCGUGAGUGAAGAAGUAUUUCGGUAUGUAAAGCUCUAUCAGCAGGGAAGAAAAUGACGGUACCUGACUAAGAAGCACCGGCUAAAUACGUGCCAGCAGCCGCGGUAAUACGUAGGGGGCAAGCGUUGUCCGGAAUUACUGGGCGUAAAGAGCACGUAGGCGGUAACCUAAGUCAGAUGUGAAAGACCAGGGCUUAACUCUGGGGUUGCAUACGAAACUGGGUAACUAGAGUGCAGGAGAGGAAAGUGGAAUUCCUAGUGUAGCAGUGAAAUGCGUAGAUAUCGAGAGGAACACUCGUGGCGAAGGCGGGUUCCUGGACAUUAACUGACGCUGAGGUACGAAGGCCAGGGUAGCGAAAG
rnacentral:rRNA from 1 species